AUUUCUUCAUCCUUGUUAGCAUGACCCAUCAUAUUAGGCAUUUUAUUGCAUCAUGGGAGUAACGGGUAAACCGUAUUGAUCACCUUUAAUUUCUUUCUGUAACUGUUCAUAAUAGCCAUAAAUGGUGGUCGUACACAAUAAAACAGCAGUACCUGAUCCUAAGGCACCAAGCAAAUCGGAAGCAACGGCCAAUGCACCAACAACGGCACCAGAAAGCCAAGCGGCAGUAGGGAUGAUACGCUUUAAUUCCUUGUACAUGCUACCCUCACGAUGACCGGCCAUAACAAGCUGCUGACUCUUAAGUUGCUUGGCAACGUCUCUUGGGCUUGCUCCAGAAACUUCAAUCCAAAGUUUAGAGAAAAGAGCGCACGCAAACAUGGUAAAAAAUACGUAGACCAAAGUAUGAAUAGGGUCAAUGAGAGCAUCUUGGAAGGACGCAGGAGGAGAGAGAUAAUACGAUAAACCAGAAGUAGCGGUUUGUUCCCAAACACCUAAAAAGCGUACUAAGAAAUUACUGGAAAAACGGUUGAAUAAAAGACGGCUGGCGAAGAAGAGAUUAGAAGUCAACGCAGAUUGAAGCAUAAUAGGGGUAUUAGACGUGUACAGCAAUUUGACAGGGAAGGUACUUCUAUAACCACGGAACUUUUGAGAACGAAUUGGAAUCUCGACGCGGAAAUCUUGAAGGUAAAUAACGACUCCGAAAACGAGUAAAGUAGCAAAGAAGUUCCAGAGGUUGGGAAGCUGAAUUUGACUGGAAGUAAGUCCUGAACGGAAGAAAGCUUGAUAAAGGGCAGCUGCUUUGUUAUCCCAUGUAAACAUAACAUAAACAAAAUUGAUAACGGCACCUUCAAAUUGAACACCAUUGGCAAUAUGAUAGGUGGUGGGGGAAAAGGCUUUCCAAAAGAUGUUUUCGCAAUUGAUUGUAGCAAUAAAAAGAGAAAUACCGGAUCCUAAACCAUAACCCUUCUGCAAUAGUUCAUCCAAAAGUAAAACAAUCAGACUAGCGGCAGCCAAUUGAAGGAUAAGAAGCAAACAAAUACCUGCACCUAAAUCUUGAGGACGUCCGUACAUGCCUGUCAACACAUAAGCUGUAGCUUGACCAAACGCAAUGAUGAUAGCCAAGACUAAAUUAAAGUUAGCAUAAGCCUUUCGAAAAAAAAAAUUAAGUAACGUUUACGGCUGAAAGACUCAAAAAGUAAAGAAAAACAAAAGCUCCACUUCAGAAUUGAAAAUGAGCAAAAUUAAAAAUGUAACUAAACGCAGCCACGCUACAUACUACAGUAGAUUGGAAAUCAAACAUACAUUUUUGAACAAGUUGGUACAUUUCUCGAUCGGAUUUUAGCUCCAUGUUAACUUCAAUCAAUUGUGAACCGACAAGAAGCUGAACCAGCAUACUGGAAGUGACAAUAGGAGAUAUACC